rnacentral:rRNA from 1 species
GCAGUCGAACGGCAGCACGGGAGCAAUCCUGGUGGCGAGUGGCGAACGGGAGAGUAAUAUAUCGGAACGUGCCCAGUCGUGGGGGAUAACGCAGCGAAAGCUGUGCUAAUACCGCAUACGAUCUCUGGAUGAAAGCGGGGGACUCGUAAGAGCCUCGCGCGAUUGGAGCGGCCGAUAUCAGAUUAGCUAGUUGGUGGGGUAAAGGCCCACCAAGGCGACGAUCUGUAGCUGGUCUGAGAGGACGACCAGCCACACUGGAACUGAGACACGGUCCAGACUCCUACGGGAGGCAGCAGUGGGGAAUUUUGGACAAUGGGCGCAAGCCUGAUCCAGCAAUGCCGCGUGCAGGAUGAAGGCCUUCGGGUUGUAAACUGCUUUUGUACGGAACGAAAAGGUCUGCCUUAAUACGGUGGGCCCAUGACGGUACCGUAAGAAUAAGCACCGGCUAACUACGUGCCAGCAGCCGCGGUAAUACGUAGGGUGCGAGCGUUAAUCGGAAUUACUGGGCGUAAAGCGUGCGCAGGCGGUUAUAUAAGACAGAUGCGAAAUCCCCGGGCUCAACCUGGGACCUGCACUUGUGACUGUAUAGCUAGAGUACGGUAGAGGGGGAUGGAAUUCCGCGUGUAGCAGUGAAAUGCGUAGAUAUGCGGAGGAACACCGAUGGCGAAGGCAAUCCCCUGGACCUGUACUGACGCUCAUGCACGAAAGCGU